GUGUCUCAACCUCAAAAAUCUUGUGACUCCUUACUAGGACUACUUUGACCAAAGUUUUAUUGAAUUGAAACACAAUGAUGCAUCAUCUCUAAUUUUACUUGGAGCGGUCAAUCCUAUCUUGACUUGCACUCAGACUUCACAAGUACUUGACUAUACCCAAAAACCUUCCGUCAUCGAAUUAAAAAUUCGGAUGGUCCGGCACCAAAGCACAGUGAGUUGCUUGCAAGUCAUCGAGACAGCUUCAGAUUCGAGGGACACAUAUACCCAUA
rnacentral:lncRNA from 1 species